UCUAUUUUGGCAGAUUUAUGUAUUAAAUUUAGAAUUUAAUUAAAUGUAAUUGAUUUACAUAUAUAGAA
rnacentral:tRNA from 1 species